rnacentral:rRNA from 1 species
GACAGAGGUUGCAAACGUUGUUCGGAAUUACUGGGCAUAAAGCGCACGUAGGCGGUCCGUUAAGUCAUGUGUGAAAUCCCCCGGCUCAACCGGGGAAUUGCGCCUGAUACUGGCGGGCUAGAGAUCGAUAGGGGUGAUCGGAACUCCAGGUGGAGCGGUGAAAUGCGUAGAUAUCUGGAGGAACACCGGUGGCGAAAGCGGAUCACUGGAUCGAAACUGACGCUGAGGUGCGAAAGCUAGGGUAGCAAACGGGG